rnacentral:lncRNA from 1 species
UGGGGACAUGUUUCUUUUUUUUUUUUUUGCAAUAUAUGUUCAUAUUCUAGUAAAUUCGAUUGAUGGCCAACUUUCUUUCCAACUUGAAUGAAAUAUUUCAGUGAAAUUAUGUUAAGAGGCUCCAUGUGAAAUUAGGUUAGAGGCUCCAUGUAGGCUAGCUCCAUGUGCGUUAGAAAUCAAGGUGAUAAUUACAUCAAAAGCUAUACCAUUUGCCUAUGGCUGAAAACUUGCAACCAGUGCCUAUCUUUCUUUAAAAACUAGGAUGUAGAAAAGAUGCUGAAUCCUGUACAAGUUUUUCAUCAAAUCAAAAGCAGCAACUAUCCCUGGAUAAGAUCCACCUUUUCCUUCAAGUGCAUUUUAAAUCCAUCACAUAUUAGCCAUGCGAACAGAUCGUCUAGUCGGGUACUUAUCGGAUCGUCGGAUCGACUGAGUUUCUAUCGGGUCGUCGGAUUGACUGGUCGUAUCAGAUGGCUUUAUCGGAUGAGAGGGUAACCGCCGAGAGAGAAAGAAAAAUUAGGGUUUAUGAUGAUCAAGGUUUCAAAACAAGAAAGAAAAGGAAAAUAGGGUUUCUGGUCGAUUUUAGAACUCAGGGAAUUAGGGAGCUUCGUGCUGAUAACGUGUUGUAAAUUAAUGGGAGAAAGAGAUUGUCUAUCUCUCAUAAUUAUGGAGCCCUUUAUAUAUAGGGAAUUACAAUAGACCGUCAUAGAUAAAUGGAAAGUCUACGAAUCCUAAAGUGAUUAGGAAAAAGAAAUCCUAUGCAUACAAAAAAAAAGAAAUUGUCUAAGUAAAAAGGAAAUAUGUCUAUUUGAUUAUGGCAUUCACAAAUCUGUUCAUAACAAUAUUAAGUUUGUUCUUCCUUUCUGCUACCGCUAUUUUAGUUACCAAGUUCAUAACAAUAUUAACACUAUAGCUCUCAAAUUGGGCAUCUAACCCCAAAAUACUGUUACUUCACUAUUAUUUUUGUAUGAAUAAUUAACUUUCUUUACUUUUAAAGAUUAGAAUAGCUAAGAAAUUGACAAAAGUCUAGUAUAUAAAGAGUAUUCAAAGGUUCUUAUAAGAACUUAUAUCUUAACUUUUCUUCUAUUUUUUAUUUUUUUUAUUAAUAUAUUGCUAAGGUACUUAGUUUAGAAACAAUCUGAGAAAUAUUUACUCUUUCCAAACAUGUAGAAACGCCGAGUGUCUAAAGAAAGGUUUCAUGUUAUUUAGACAAUUGUAAGAAUAAUAUCAUGUAAUUUACUGGCUUACCAUCUUCUCAAAUGCUUUUGAUAAUUUUGUGAUGUCUAAGUUGUAGAUUUUGUGUUAUACUCCACCCCAGGCACAUUACCUUCAAGUGCCACCUAUAUUAUAAUGACAAUUAAUUGGAAGGGAGGCACGUUGGAGGCGUUGUCUUUUUUUUUUUUUGAACUGAACACGUUGGAGGCGUUGUUUUUUUUUUUU